rnacentral:tRNA from 1 species
GGCCUCGUGGUCUAGUGGUAUGAUUCUCGCUUAGGGUGCGAGAGGUCCCCGGUUCGAUUCCCGGUGAGGCCC